CAUGUUUGAAGCUUUCCACACUCCUUCGAGUCUCCAAGAGCCUUGUGAGAAGAGCAGGAGUUAUUCCGCUGAUCUCCAAAGCUUGCCUCAUCCAAGGGCUAAUCUUCCGGUAUGGAGGACGGUGGAACUCAGGAGGCCGUGAGUGAAGCAGAGAUCUGGACUAGAACCUUGGUUCUGUCCUAAUGCUGCCACAGCUGUCUUCUUUCUGAGUCCUUCUGCGGGGCCUUGCAUACAGUCUACAGGAGACCUUACUUUCUGUCAAUGUCACAGGCCGGGACUCUCAUUUUGAGGCCCAGCAAGGAAAACAGAUUUUCAGAACAUGGCUGAAAGCUUUCAUGGAGUGAUGUCACCUGCUGGAAAGUGCCUUGAUCUUGACACCAGAUUCCUGACUUAAUUGAAGAAAAAUCACUUAACCUCUCUGAACCUGAACCUACUUUGUGACAUGGAACUCAUGAUAAUCUAUGCUUUUGGUCUCAACGGUGGUUGAGAGAUUCACAGGAAGCAAUGGAUGUGAAAGUUCUGUGUAAGCCCCAGCACAUGGCUACAGGUAUAAGAGCCUGGACUCUUAGUCUCUUCUAAAACAGACUUAAUGGAAAAGGAUCUGAUAAAUUCAGGCAUACUGAACUUAGUCCUGCGAUGUCUCAGAGUGUCAAAGCUCUUGCCAUGCAAACCCGACAACCUGAGUUUGAGCCCCAGAACCCAUGGCGGAAGGAGAGAACCAGUUCCCGAAAGUUAUCCUCUGAUUUCUGCAUGCUCUGGUGAUACCUCACCACUAACGCGCGCGCGCAAGCACACACACACACACACACACA